AUUGAACGCUGGCGGCGUGCCUAACACAUGCAAGUCGAGCGGUAACAGGUGUAGCAAUACAUGCUGACGAGCGGCGGACGGGUGAGUAACGCUUGGGAAUCUGCCUAUUAGUGGGGGAUA
rnacentral:rRNA from 1 species